AUGUCAUUCACUGAAAGGGAUGUAUUUACCGCCUCAAGCCCAAACUUUGUUUACACAUGUCAUGUUCUCCCGCUCGGGGCUCAGGCAGGCACAUGCACAUGCACCCCGUUGCGCAGCCCAAAAACCCUCGCCCAAAGCAGCAGCGCCGGCGGCAAGCCGCGGAGGUCCGCGUCCGCCAUCUUCGCCGACACGGCGAGCGGGCACCACCUCCUCACAAUCCACGGCUACUCCCGCACCAAGGGCGUUCCCACCGGGGAGCGCGUCAAGUCGCGCCCCUUCGACAUCGGCGGCCACCGCUGGCGGAUCGACUACUACCCCAACGGCGUGCGCGCGGAGGUCGCCGACUACGUGUCCCUCUCCCUGAUGCUCGACGAGGACGAGGACGAGGGCGUCGCGGCGGCGCCGGCGGUGAAGGCCCAGUACGACAUCCGCCUCGCCGGCGAGGCGGAGGACGAGGAUGAGGGGACGGCGCCGCUGUCGUCGGCGUCGGUGGACGACUUCACCCCCGGGAGGGGCUGGGUGUACACCACGUUCGUUUCCAGGGAGGAGCUGGAGGGCUCCGAGCAUCUCAGGAACGACUCCUUCACCGUCCGGUGCGACAUCAUAGUCGUCCGCGAUUACCGCGCCGAGGACGCGGCGGUAGGCUUCGUGUCCGUGCCCGCGUGCGACCUGCGCCGGGACCUCGCCGGCCUCCUCGAGACCGGGAAGGGCGCCGACGUGGUGUUCGAGGUCGGCGGCGAGACCGUCACCGCGCACCGGUGCGUGCUCGCGGCCCGCUCCUCGGUCUUCGCCGCCGAGCCUUCGGGCCGAUGA
rnacentral:rRNA from 1 species